GUGGAACAAACCGUUUUCGCAAGAUGCGUUUCAUUUCAACCCAAGUAGUAACAUGUUGCUCUCUAUAAGGAAUCCUGAUUUUACAUAAUUGAUUCCACCAUGUUAGUGCAUAAUCAAUGAACUCAGCGACAGCGUAUGUUACCUUUUUCUCAUCAGAGUAAUUGUAACAAGCAAAGACUGCUUCCAUCUUUUCCUCCCAAUCAAGGUAAGCAUCAGGAUCAUUCUUCCCUAAGAAAGAAGGAAAUUUUGGUUUGGGGGUGUCAUUGUUUCGUUCCAACCUUUCUCUAGGUACAUACUCGGACUCAAAGUCAUCAUAAAAAACAUGGUCCUCCCUUC
rnacentral:lncRNA from 1 species